rnacentral:lncRNA from 1 species
UUCGAUCGCCGAGUAAAGCAAGCGGUGGCCAACAAGCACCUACGCUUCAAGAGUUUUUUUUACAAUUGCAAGUAUUACUGCAUGGGUUUGAAGAUUGUGGCCCGAAAUCCUGUGCAUCGGCUGCGGAUUGUGUAUCCCCCUCCGGCCCCCACGCUUGCACGCCGAGGCCUUUUAUAUUCCACUUUCGUUAUACCAUCUGCCAUUCAGCCGUCGCUCGCUCACGUCAACAUUUCGGCCAUACAGUCGACGCGUUCGAUGCGGAUCCUUCAGGGCCGCGCAGCAACACAGGCUCUCUACCCUGGACCAUUUGCAGAAGCUUCAACAGCCGGCCCGCAUCGAAACUCCUUGGCUGCAUGCGGGCUCUUCUCCUACCUUCUACUACCUGCCGCACACAGAGCCACCACCGAACGCCCCCUUGCCGGCGCCCCGUCUACCGGUGCUGCUGCUGUAGCAGCGGCGAGAUGACAGCUGCCAGGGCCGGGUUUGAGGCCAUCAGGGCGCGCAGCUUGGCAGGGUCGCUGAGCAGAGCCUGCGCGUGUGCGGCGAGGUGAGGCAAGGCGGGGAAGACAUGAGCAAGGGCGGCCGCGGUUUCGCGUGUGUGUGCAGGCCUGGAAUGGCCGUUCCGCAUCAGCCGGCACAGGCAUGACGGCAAGUCAGUUAUUCCUAGUUCAGAGAUGAAGUGCACAUACCGUUUACGGUACGUCGGUUAGAGAUGCGCACACCGUAUGCAGUGCGGAUGGUGGAAUGCCGAUUGCGUCACCGCAGAACUUCGCAUGCGGCUCCCGAUAGACAUUUUCGCACCCGGCCGCGGAUCCCCCCCUUACCUUGAUCAUGUCCGGUGACACGCCGCCGCCACCACCACCCAUAGCCGGCUGCUGCUGUUGCAUCUGUUGCAUGUGCUGCAUCUGCGCCGGUUGUUGUUGCUGCUGCAGCUGCAGCUGCUGCUGUUGCGGCGGCCCAGGGAAGGAGGACUGCUGCUGCAGCGGGUGCUGCUGCUGUGGCGGAGGUGGCUGCAGGUCCGCAUACAACGCAUCGCCAUAGUCACCACUAUGCCGCUGCAGCUGCGGCUGCUGCUGUUGCCGCCAUUGCUGCUGCUGCUGUUGCUGUUGCUGCUGCUGCUGCUGCUGUUGUUGUUGUUGCUGCUGCUGCUGUUGUUGCUGCUGCUGCGAGGCACCGCCGGGCGUCCCAAGACUGCCCGAGGGGCCGGCGCCUCCAAUGCUGCGAGCCGACGGCAGGCCGCCGCCGCCUGCCGACGGCGCCCGGACCAUGCCGCCACCACCGCCGCCACCAGCUGAGCCCGGCGUCGGCGCAAACAAGUCAUCGUACAACGAGUCCGCGUCAGCGCUCGGCAGCUGCUGAAGCGCCGGCGGGCGGUAGCCACCACCACCGCCGCCACUGAAGCCGCGGCCACCGCCGCCGCCAGCGCCGGCACCUGGUGGCGGCGGGAAGCCGCCGCCACCGCCGGCCGCGCCGGGUGGGCGUGGCGGCGGCGGCCCCAUGCCGCCACUGCCAGUGGCAGGCGGCGGUCCUGGCGGCGGCGGCGCCGCCGGCGCCGCUCCGCCGCUGCCUGACAUCCGCUGGUAGUCAUCCACGUGUUUGGAGGGAGCCCGGCUACUGCUGCCCCGUCCGCGCAUGUCGCCGCGGCGGCGCGUGCCCAUCACGAUCGGAAUGUCGUCCAUUACAUCGCCACCACCCACGCCCGUGCCGGCUCCGCCGGCGCCGGCGGCAGCGGCUCCGCCGCCGCUGGCAGCGGCACCGACGCCGUCCUUGCGCGGCGCGGCGGCGGUUGGGCGCGGAACGUCGCGCGGCCGGCGGCGGCGCGAGAGGGGCUCGGCGGGGAGCAGCGAGGCGGCGGACAGCUCGGCGGAGGGCGUGGAGCAGUCCCACCUGCGCACGUAACACGCGUAGCGUCAGUUGGGCUUGGAAACUGGAUCGCGCCGUGUAUCGCUUGAUCAGUGACCACAUCCCAGCCCCACCCCCGGACCCAGCGCCAAACCUAUUCCUGCCACCGACAACUGGGAACAACGCCGUACCCGUUGCACGACACACAGCAACCUGCCGGCUUGCAGGCCAGCAACCCGCCACACAACAUUUGCCACGCCCGCCCCUUCUCGACACACACUGCAUCUGCCAGCGCCGGCUGCCCCCCCUUGUCCCGCCCCAGGCACGCACCUGGUUAGCUUCCUGCUGAGGCUGGCUCGGACCACCUUGGAGCGGCAGUAGCGCCAGAACGACAGCGUGGCGUUGUCGCACACAGACGGCCA